rnacentral:piRNA from 1 species
UCCCUACUGUCAAGGAAGCCUAGUGUCCAC